UUUUUAGUAUAAGUAUGUCCCAUGAAAUAUUGGGGACAUUCUUAUGUUAAAC
rnacentral:pre_miRNA from 1 species